CAUAGUUGCUAGGAUUAGACCCGAAACCGAGUGAUCUAGCCAUGGGCAGGUUGAAGGUGAGGUAACACUUACUGGAGGACCGAACCGACUAAUGUUGAAAAAUUAGCGGAUGACUUGUGGCUAGGGGUGAAAGGCCAAUCAAACUCGGAGAUAGCUGGUUCUCCCCGAAAGCUAUUUAGGUAGCGCCUCGGACGAAUACUACUGGGGGUAGAGCACUGUUAAGGCUAGGGGGUCAUCCCGACUUACCAACCCUUUGCAAACUCCGAAUACCAGUAAGUACUAUCCGGGAGACACACGGCGGGUGCUAACGUCCGUCGUGAAGAGGGAAACAACCCAGACCGCCAGCUAAGGUCCCAAAGUUAUAGCUAAGUGGGAAACGAUGUGGGAAGGCUCAGACAGCCAGGAUGUUGGCUUAGAAGCAGCCAUCAUUUAAAGAAAGCGUAAUAGCUCACUGGUCGAGUCGGCCUGCGCGGAAGAUUUAACGGGGCUAAGCUAUACACCGAAGCUGCGGCAAUG
rnacentral:rRNA from 1 species